rfam:Salmo salar isolate Sally breed double haploid chromosome ssa10, whole genome shotgun sequence.
UCAGAUUUAAAUUGUAAGUCGCUCUGGAUAAGAGCGUUUGCUAAAUGACAAAUG